rnacentral:misc_RNA from 1 species
GCCGUGACGAAGACGAAGGCGACCUCGGCUCCCGCCCGGAGGCCGGCGAAGGCGGCGAAGACGUCAGCCAAGGACACGCCCAGCAAGAAGGCGGCGCCGGCGGCCAAGAAGCCCGCCGCCGCGGCGAAGAAGGCGCCCGCCAAGAAGGCCGCGCCGGCGAAGAAGGCGGCCGCUCCGGCGAGGAAGGUGCCCGCCCGGAAGGCGAAGAAGUAGAGCUCUCUCUCCGGCGAGCGAGCAAUCUA